GCGGCACUGGCCCGCCACAGCGACGCCGGCGCCGAGGGACACCGCAGUAUGAGGCAGAGGCUGGAUCUGGCGUGUGGGUGGUGGUGUGCCCACCCCUGGCAGAUGGGGAUGAUUCAGGUGUGACAUGACAAGGAACUGGAACAGGAUGUUGGCAGUGGAUGUGGAGUGGAAGGGACCUGAUGCCAGAUACAUUUUGAGAAGAGGACACUGAUAAGAUAGAAAGGAUAAGGAGAGGGCAGCGCCCCGGAUAAUGCUGGGUAGGUGCCUUUCCAGCCCCCUGUUGGUAAAGCUGGCCUUGUUUUCCAAGUGCCAGGAGUAUGACUUGGUUCUGAAGAAAAACCCAAGAGAUAUCGGAUGCUCGCAGACUUCCAUCAGCAUUGUUAGCUGUCCCCAUGUCUCCCUGGGGGCAGUGCUGUGCCGGUUUCUCUGCUGCCUUGGCUUCGGGUGUUCUGGGCAGCAGGUGCCCCCUGCUGUGACUGGGGCAGCCUGCCCGCCUGUUUGUGGAGCCACAGGUAGCCACCUUUAGGGCAACUCUAUUUUGAUAUAAUUUCCUGUUUACAGAGAAGUUGCAGGAGGAGUGCAGGCACUCCCCAUCUAUUACCUGGAUUUAUUAGAUUUGAUCGUUUGACCCCAU
rnacentral:lncRNA from 10 species